rnacentral:lncRNA from 1 species
AGAAUGAGAGUACUGAGCGUGACCAUCUCGAGCAGUCAUAAGGAAGUUCUACCUUCUCAUCGAUGACUAGCUCGAUGCUGCAGUUGUGUAUCUGGUUCUUUGACCUGAGGUGCAUCGACAGUUCACCUUGAGUGUGUUAUAGUUUGACUACACCAUAACUCGAUCUCCUAGCCAUUCGAAACUCUGAGAUGUAUGUUGGCUGUAGCAUAUUCAUUGUAGAAAAUAGGCCACACCA